UACGGAGGAUGCAAGCGUUAUCCGGAUUUAUUGGGCGUAAAGCGUCCGCAGGUGGUUUUCCAAGUCUGCUGUUAAAGCGCGAGGCUUAACCUCGUACAGGCAGUGGAAACUGGAUGACUAGAGUAUGGUAGGGGUAGCGGGAAUUCCCAGUGUAGCGGUGAAAUGCGUAGAUAUUGGGAAGAACACCAGCGGCGAAAGCGCGCUACUGGGCCAUUACUGACACUCAUGGACGAAAGCUAGGGGGGCGAAAGGG
rnacentral:rRNA from 1 species